rnacentral:pre_miRNA from 2 species
UCUUAUAGAUGAACAAUGAAAGUGGUUUCUUGAGAUGGAAUCUACUCAUAGUGAAGAUGCUGUGAA